GGGGAGAGGGAAAGAAAAAAAAAGAAGAGGGAGGGAAGAGAGAAGGGAGAGAGAAGGGAGGGGGGAAGGGGAAUCCGGCCAGGAGGUCGGUCACCGGACGGCCACCGGAGGCUCGCCGGCGCCGGCGCCGGCCACCGCACGCGGUGGCCAGAAAAGGUAAAAAUUUAUAUUUUUUUAUUUUUUUUAUUUUUUCGUAUUUUCUUUUAUGUUUUAAUAUGUGUAUAGGUUAAAAAAACUUAAAACCGAAUUUAAAAUAGAAAGAAAAAAAAUCACCUUAGGGUUUUUUAAGCUUUUAAUCCUUUGAUCUUGGUGUUUUGAUAAUAUUCAAUACUGAUCUAUUGUUGCUCCUGAAAACUAAUCUGUAUUCUCUGCUUCUUUGUUUUUAAACUGCCGAAAAUAAGAAAAAGAAAAAAACACAAAGAAAAAGACCCCCUUUGAAUAUAUUUGAAUGAAUAUCAAAAACGAAAAAAAGAAGCCCACCCCUGUUACAUUGAUUCUCUUUCGGCUUUUAUAGCCGAUUACAUGUGAUUUUCACUGCUCUCUGCUUGUUUUGCUUUUGUUUUGCAUGUUUCUCCAUUCAUUUCCUGUCUUCUUCUGUUUAUUCUUUCCCCCAUCCCUCGCAUGCUGUUGUUUUUGUCUCUAUUACAGGUGUGUCAGGUGUGGGUGGUGUCAGACGCAUGGAGGAGAAGGGCAUGCGCGGGGUGUGGUGGUGGUACACAAGGUGGCCCAUGGUUGGCCUAGCGUGCGGCGGCUGGAGGCUUGGGGAGCUGCUAGGGUUUCCUCUUUUUUUUGGAAAAUGUUUAGUGGGCUAGGUUGAUUUGGGCCUGUUGGGCUAGUCUUUUAGUUUUGUACUUUGGACUUUAUUUAUUUGGUUUAUUG
rnacentral:lncRNA from 1 species